rnacentral:rRNA from 1 species
UACGUAGGGGGCAAGCGUUAUCCGGAUUUACUGGGUGUAAAGGGGGCGCAGACGGCGAUGCAAGCCAGGAGUGAAAGCCCGGGGCUCAACCUCGGGCCGGGUUCCGGACUGGGCGGCUCGAGUGCGGUAGAGGAGAGCGGAAUUCCCGGUGUAGCGGUGGAAUGCGCAGAUAUCGGGAAGAACACCGAUGGCGAAGGCAGCUCUCUGGGCCGUCACUGACGCUGAGGCGCGAAAGCUGGGGGAGCGAACAGG